rnacentral:pre_miRNA from 1 species
AGUGGAAUUGCUGGAUCAUAUGGUAACUUUAUGUUUAACUUUCUGAAGAGCUACCAAACUCUUUGCCAAAGUGGUUACACUAUUUUACAUUCCCACCAGCAAU